rnacentral:rRNA from 1 species
AACGAACGCUGGCGGCAGGCCUAACACAUGCAAGUCGAACGCUCCAGCAAUGGAGAGUGGCAGACGGGUGAGUAACGCGUGGGAACCUUCCCUAUGGUUCGGAAUAGCUCAGGGAAACUUGAGGUAAUACCGGAUAAGCCCUUCGGGGAAAGGAUUAUCGCCAUUGGAUGGGCCCGCGUAGGAUUAGCUAGUUGGUGAGGUAACGGCUCACCAAGGCGACGAUCCUUAGCUGGCUGAGAGGAUGAUCAGCCACACUGGGACUGAGACACGGCCCAGACUCCUACGGGAGGCAGCAGUGGGGAAUAUUGGACAAUGGGCGGCAAGCCUGAUCCAGCCAUGCCGCGUGAGUGACGAAGGCCUUAGGGUUGUAAAGCUC